CAUAAGCAGAUUGGACCGGUCGUCAUUGUAAAUACCAUGGAGAAUCACACACGACCGGAAGUAAUUCGAAUGAGGGAAUCGACUCCGGGGAGGACAAGGAACGCAAGGAAACACAGGUAUACCAUGUUACUUACGAUGCACGCGAGUGUCCUUUGGAAUCCUAAAGGGAGAUUCUCGCGUUUGAUCCCUCUUGUGACCGCGACGCAAAAGAGGAUGAAAUCAACGAAUGCACCUGCGCGAGUCCACGCCAGGCGAACUGCGUGCAACGAUGAAGAGUUACUUGACGCACCGUGUCCGAUUCGUUCGAAAGUCUUGUGGAGUGUUGAGAAACACACAGAGAGAGAGAGAACGGCGAGCGGGGGGCAACCACCCGGUUUGCACGGAGGGAUUACUGCGCCAGAGAAAAAGAAACAGGACGGAAAGAGGCCCCGCGAGAAUCGAACGAGAGAGAGAGAGAGAAAGAGAGAAAAGAGAGAGACGCAGCAUAAGAGAGAGGAGAACGAAGCCUGUGUAACCGACCUGACGCUGACUCACCACUGAGCGGUUUUUGUAAGCCGCGCUAUUGUCAUCCGAAAAAUUGUAUUGCGGUCCAGCAGUGAGAUAUCGUUUCACGAGCGCGGCCAAUGCGCCGCGACACCGAGACGCUAUCGAGAGGUGCUUUUACUCUCAUAAUUUUUUAUAAGAAACUUGAGACACAUUUGGUCUAUUGUCAAAAGACACUCACGUCAACACAAUCAAAGGUUAUACGCAAUUUUAAGUGAAUGUUUCUUCAAUUACUGCUAUUGGAAAUGUGAAAAAAGAAAUAUAGUAAAUGUUUUAGAGAAGGCAGCGCCCACAUUUCGUUUCUCCGCUUCAAGGUUGUAUUUGAAAAAAUGCAUUCCAUUACCGAGUGUUCCAGCUACCUGACAUCAAAGUGUAUAAUCUGCGAUCGUGUUUCACUCGCGUAUUGUCGACCACGGCAGAUACA